rnacentral:tRNA from 1 species
UAGCUCAGUUGGUAGAGCACGGCACUUGCAAUUCCAGCGUUGUGGGUUCGAUUUCCAC